rnacentral:rRNA from 1 species
GUGCUAUACUGCAGUCGAGCGAGCUGAAUUCAAAGAUUCCUUCGGGGUGAUUUGUUGGACGCUAGCGGCGGAUGGGUGAGUAACACGUGGGCAAUCUGCCCUAAAGACUGGGAUACCACUUGGAAACAGGUGCUAAUACCGGAUAACAACAUGAAUCGCAUGAUUCAAGUUUGAAAGGCGGCGUAAGCUGUCACUUUAGGAUGAGCCCGCGGCGCAUUAGCUAGUUGGUGGGGUAAAGGCCUACCAAGGCAAUGAUGCGUAGCCGAGUUGAGAGACUGAUCGGCCACAUUGGGACUGAGACACGGCCCAAACUCCUACGGGAGGCAGCAGUAGGGAAUCUUCCACAAUGGACGCAAGUCUGAUGGAGCAACGCCGCGUGAGUGAAGAAGGUUUUCGGAUCGUAAAGCUCUGUUGUUGGUGAAGAAGGAUAGAGGCAGUAACUGGUCUUUAUUUGACGGUAAUCAACCAGAAAGUCACGGCUAACUACGUGCCAGCAGCCGCGGUAAUACGUAGGUGGCAAGCGUUGUCCGGAUUUAUUGGGCGUAAAGCGAGCGCAGGCGGAAUGAUAAGUCUGAUGUGAAAGCCCACGGCUCAACCGUGGAACUGCAUCGGAAACUGUCAUUCUUGAGUGCAGAAGAGGAGAGUGGAAUUCCAUGUGUAGCGGUGGAAUGCGUAGAUAUAUGGAAGAACACCAGUGGCGAAGGCGGCUCUCUGGUCUGCAACUGACGCUGAGGCUCGAAAGCAUGGGUAGCGAACAGGAUUAGAUACCCUGGUAGUCCAUGCCGUAAACGAUGAGCGCUAGGUGUUGGGGACUUUCCGGUCCUCAGUGCCGCAGCAAACGCAUUAAGCGCUCCGCCUGGGGAGUACGACCGCAAGGUUGAAACUCAAAGGAAUUGACGGGGGCCCGCACAAGCGGUGGAGCAUGUGGUUUAAUUCGAAGCAACGCGAAGAACCUUACCAGUCUUGACAUCCUGCGCUACACCUAGAGAUAGUGGUUCCUUCGGGACGCAGAGACAGUGUGCAUGCUGUCGUCAGCUCGUGUCGUGAGAUGUUGGGUAGUCCCGCACGAGCGCACCCUGUCUUAGUGCAUCAUAGUGGGCACUCUAAGAGACUGCGUGACAACGAGAAGGUGGGGAUGACGUCAGUCA